GCUCGAUUAGGUCAGCUGGGUAGCAUAUCUACCUACGGAGCAGAUGGUCGUAGGUUUGAAUCCUGCACCGAGUU